GUUUUUGUGAUGAUAAAACCUUAAAAAUAAUAUCGACAUCGAAACAAAAAAAACUUGAUGAACCAUGAUAUUUAUAAUGAUAGGACUGAUAAC
ensembl:snoRNA snoRNA:Me28S-G2017